CUUCAAAGAAGUGAUUUCUCUGCAGGCUCUCUCGAUUUGCCUGGGAUUCGUUGCCAACAUCCACUCUGCAUUCGAUUCCGAGUCUUAAAACGGUCGGUUUGUUUAAAGGCUUAACUUGGUCCAUUCUGGCACUGAAUUGCAUGAGCUGGAGUACAGAUGAGCUGCGGAUAGCACUCAGUUAACGAUGCGAACUCCGAAGAAGCGUUUGGGUUAAGGGAAGGCACGAAGCGACUACGUCCAGUCUCUCGCAGUUAGAUUUUUUGCAGUUUCAGUCCUCCUUCACACAUCUCCAUCCCUCUAGUUUUCUGGGCGCCGGCGAAAGAGCCUAUUUUUACUUGUAAGUUAAAGUGGCUCCACCAAAAACAUAAAUACAGACGAUGGCAGGUCCCAGAGUUCUUAUUUUGAAGUCGCGCAGAGAUUCUGUGUACGGUACAUGUACAGUAUAAGAGAGUUAAAAUCGUGGUGUUUGUUUUAGUUUGAAUGCCUUGAAGGGGGAGAAAAUAUUUCCAAGGUUAAGUGUCACUUGCCCUAUUUUCCUUCAAUAUUUCGUUCCUGACAAUGCUGUGACAAUCUCAAGAUGAACAAACUAAUAUAAAAGAACCUUCGGAAAUGCAAAAAGAAAUGUUCUGUCACAGAACCUAAAUACAAUUUUAUGUCAGCAGAAUGAAUAAAAUGACGCACUUUGUGAGCGGAAUGGUAGCAAAAUAAUCACACUUUCCCUCUCCAGCUAGUUUCGCAUCGCCACAAGACUAAAUGGACUGCGACUGCACCCAGGCAGCACGUUAGGACCAAGUGAACAGAAAGUGAGGGAGGAAAAAAUAAAGACACUCCGCAAGAGUAGACUGAAAUCCCUGCAAAACGCCGCUUUGAAAUGUUAUUGCGUUCUAUAAUAAAACUUAACAUAGAAGAACCAAACGAAGUGAUCUUCGCAGGAUCAAUUUCAGUGUCUGGAGUAUUCCUUGCUUCUUAGAAAUUUUAACACUAAACUCUCCCUUCGGAGAAUCGAAGCUUUUCUUAUCGGCUGGAAUAAUUAAACCCGGGCUUGUUUAUGCCAUUAUUGCAGUUCAAAGCUUGCCAAUUCCGUCUUUAUUAUUAAGACAUAAUUUAACGUGUAUGUGCGCAGUUCCAUAUUUUCCUAAUAAGCUCGUCAACAUUUUUUGCCCUCGAAAGGAAAUGGGAACAUUAAUCUUCGGAUUACACAAUAAUAAUCCCUAAUUGCAGAAUCCAUUGUAAAGAGAAUUUAUGACCCCACAGCAGGAAGAAGAGGGAAGAUUUACUGCACUGGGGUGAAAAGGAUUUUUGAAAUAGCCUAACCAUUAAUAAGAAAAGGAUGGAGCUACUGAUUAGGAGAUAGUGAUUAAGGGACAAGACUAGCUCUGCAGGAUGUUUCCCACUUGCUCAAAGUCUCCUUUCACCUUUAGCCAUGUAGUCAUCACUUAGUGCAUUUUCCUUUCCACUAAUUUGAGGCGGGGUGAUACUUGUGAUUGGGAAUUCGAUUGUGACACUUUAUUGUUCUUGACUCCCAGUUCUAGAACAGCUCUUUAAAACAACAGGCUUGGAGGGUUUUCAAUAGCUUGUGAAAAAUACUCAGAAAGAUGUGAAUAAUUUUCAUUAAUUCUAAAGAUCACAAGGCAUUUACUGUGGCGAUCCUACGUGACUGUUCUUCUCCUGCUAGGAUUCAUGCUAGACAAGUUAAUUAGACCACGUUUCUCUCCUUAAGAUAACACCCCCACAUUACAACAGAGACUACACUUCAAAAGUGCAUCAUUGGUUGUAAAGCACUUUGGGACACAAUGUGUUUCUCAAAGGCGCCAUUUAAAUGCAAGUCUGUCCUAUUUUUAUUCCUAGGCGAAACUCGCCCGACUACAUAAAACAGUGUUUGCAUUUCAAGCAGCAAUUUGUCGGUUGCAGAGCGUGUCGGAAUAUUCCAAUGAUAUAAGAUGCUAUACAAAUGCAAGUUCUCUCGUUAUGAAUCAAGCAGGUACAAAUUACAAACAUUCUUUUAACCAUCAAACUUCGAGCCAUUCAAUCAAUGUCUCUCAAAUAAAUUACAUUGACGUAUGACAUUGAUUUUAUACAAGCAGAUUGUACAUCAUAUGCACCACUCUAAAACUCUUACCCCUUUCUCUAUUUUAUUUCUGCAUAUUUAUGUAAAUAAUGAUUGGUAAAACAAAGGCCAGAAGCUAAUGUUAAAAUCUUUUUCAUUUUUUAUUUGAAUAAGUAUAAUAUUGAUGUCGAUUGAACAAAACAAUGCAGGUUCACCAAAAAGGAAGAGUUUGCAUUUAUAGGAUUGUUUUAAUGAUCCCAUGACAGCUGAUUCAGUGCUUUUGAAGUGUAGUCAUUGCUGUAAUUUAGUAGGGCAACCAGUUUGCAAACAGCACGGUCCCACAAACAGCAAUGUGGUAAUGACCAGAUCAUCUGUUUAUUUAGUGAUGUUGGUUGAGAUAUGAAUAAUAUCACCAGGUAGUAUACAUAUGAUGCAAAAGCUGUUUUUGUAGUAUAAAGGUUAAUGGAAAUUGGCAGACAAUUGAAGCUUCCCAGAUUUUGGUAAUAAAAUGCAACCACAUACUAGGUCCAGAAAUGAAGAUGGACAGAAUGCAAGUAACAAAAUAAACAUUUGUUUGUUUUUUUGCAAUUUUAUUGAACAAAAAAAAUAGAUGAACACCCCAAUAAAUUUCUGAAAACCAGGAAAUCAAAUAACUGAAGUGCAGCUAUUGAAGAGCCCAAUACGGUAUGGAAAAUUUUGUAACACUAUUUUAACUCAUAAAGUUUUUGACCUCACUGAACUUGUUACUAUGAUUUGAUGACUGUUGUAAAAUAAAAUCCAAUUUG